UUUGCAUUUUGAAUAUGAAGAGCUGCAGGUGUCAGACAGUUAGGCCCCCCCAGCACACAGAGAAGCCGUUACGCACCACUCUUACACCAAUACAGUCACUGAUUUUAUCUGUUAAGAAGCAACUGCGACAAGCAUCUUUUUAUUCCUCGGAUCCCCUACUGUCUACCUCAGACAAGAAGAGGCUCAAAGAUAAUGGAGAUUAUGAGUGUCAGACAGGGUUAAAACCACUGAUAUUAGGGUCACCACUCACCAGCGUGGGACGGCUGGCUGCCUCUGACUCCAGGAUUUAUUUUUUCAUUUUGCCAUAAAAUAUUUCAUGGGUCAUUCCAGAAUUGGAGGACAUUUUUUGUCCAACCCAUCAAAUUUCAAAUAAUCCAUGUUCAAAAUACUAAAACAUGCAGCUGUUGUGUAAAUUUACUUGUCCUGAGACCAAAUGUAAAAAAAAGGGGGGGGGGAAAGAACAUUUGAAAAUAUUCUUUGAAACACCAAAUAAAUCUGGAGUUCCCCCUAAAAUGCUAAUUUUCUUUUGUCCCACUCCCUUGAUGACCAAAUUAAAUCUCAAAUAAUAAGGUUAAAAUGAAAUCUAAAUCUUCUUUUUUUUGGUAUUAUUUUUUUCAUUGAUGUCUCUUGUAAUGUGUCCCACAACAACCCUGUUGGCAUAACCUUUUUAGCAGGUAGAAGAAGAAAAAAACAGUGAAUCACAUGAAACACUGGAAUUAACAUCAUCAAACAGUUUUCCAAAAGAAUGUGUAGAUCAAAGCGAUGUCCUCUCUAAGAUCUGCCAUCCAGAAAUGUGGGCGCCAGGUCUGAAGGCAUAUUGUUAAUAAUAAUAGUAAUAAGAAGAAGAAUAGUAGUAAUAAUUUAAUUUAAUUUAAUUAAAAACAAAAAAUAAAAAUGGAAAUAGAAAUUUAUAUAUGAAUGCUUUUAUUUUGGACAUGUCGAAAAGAAGCCACAAAACAACAAGAAAACAAUACAAACAAACAUAACAACGCAAAGCAAAAAAUAGCAACUCAAUAUAUCCAAAAAGGAGCAGGACGAAGCAGAAGAUUAUUUCCUCCUACCCCUUCUCCAUCUCGACCUUCACUCACUCAGUACCCUACUCCCAUGGUUAUUUAUGUACAUGUUUACAAACAAAAUACAAAAUAAAUGACAUAAAUAAACUGAGAUUAAAUAAUCAUUGAUAUACCCUUGUCAGAUAUAAUAAAAUAUAAUAAAUAUAGUAAUCAGAUAUUAGAAAUUAUCUGUUUAUUAUAUUUAUUGGUUACUCCUUAUUCUAAAUAACUAGAAGAAAUCUAAAAUGCAAGACCAACCAAUGAGAGACCAGGGAAUUGUCCUUUAAGAGAGCAAUAUAACAAAAGGUGUUUUGAUACUGUAUAGACAAAAUAUUAUUACGUUUUAUCUCAUAUUUACUAUAAUAAAUAGCUUUAUCUUGUUCUUUUUGCACAGAACCACAGGGAUGUGAAUCAACACGUUCAGCUCCAUCCUAAGAGAAAACCAUGUUAGCUGCUUAUUCCCCUACAAUACUCGAACCCAGGAGCCUCCUGUGUAAAGUCAAAAUGUUAAUACAAUCCUCUAGAAUCAAAUCCAGCAGGCUGGGAUGCACAUUCAGUUUUCCUGAGCAGACAGAGAGACUGAGCUCUCUGGGGCUCAGAAGAUUAUUUGAGUGUUUCCCCUCUUUCUCUUUGGUGCCAUUAUUGGCUGCUGGCCUGUUUUCAUGAACUCUAUAGAGGCUGACUGGGGACAAAAUGUGUCAAAAGCACAUGUGUGUGUCUCUGUGGGUUAGAAAAAAAGAGAGAGAGACAGUGUCAUGCAGCUGACGUUUCACAGCCACAGUCAGGGCAGUGCCCACGGCAGAGCGGCCAGGGUGGCUGAACACACACACACACACACACACACACACAGCUCUGGAGAAGGAAGAGGAGGAGAAAUCCCCAUGACCAAUCAGGAAGACCUGGAGACACACAGUCAGUGGGGGACGAAGGGAUGGACAUGGCAGGAGUGGGGGUGCAGGUGUGCCUGACAAUGCAUCACUGACCCUUUGAUUGGGGGAUAAGUCCCUGCUUGUGCGUCCAUCUUGAUUUGAUGGCCGGAGAGAGGGCUGAUCGACCCCCUGACCUUUCUGCUCGCUGUCCGGAGCUCCUGUCAGCGGGUUAAUGAGCGACGGCUGCUCGGGGCACUCUGGGCCUUGGCUAAGUGACCGGACCGGAUGACCACCCUCUGCUCUGACACUCACGGCUCUCAGUAAAACACCCCUCCGCCACCUCCAAACAGGCCCUGCCCUUCCUCGCCCUCUCAAAGUGAAGCUGGGACUCAGGAAUUAAGCUCAGUUAUUUGCAGCACCACAUUUGGCCAAAGGGACACAAACAGAAACUCACAAGUGCCCGUCAUUCUUCAGACGUCGCCGGUGCCAAGGCAGUAGGAUGGCUGCCUCUCUCCUCUCUGAUGGGAAAACUGUUGCUCAUGUGCUGGGUUGGCUGCCAAGUUUUGGCAUUAUUGCCUCUUGUCUCUCGGUGCUGUAGAUCAGACGACCGUCCUGAGGUGAGCUGGCGGAGAUCCGAUGCCACUGGAACACUUUGAUUACCAACCAGCGCUAACUGUUGGAUUUCUCACAGCUUGUGUAUUUCUUUGGCUUGGCUCCCAAUGCAUUAACACACACACACACACACAACACACACACUCGGAGGCAACACCAGCACACUACACCAGGAGAUUUGCUGUUGUCCUCUGAGAAGCUUAGCUAAGCCUGACUUUGGUGCAAAGGGUGCAAAGAUCAGACGGGAGCUUUUUCCAGACACCGAUAGAACAAAUCAGCGUUUAGAAUUCAGUUUUCCAACUUCUUCUCUCUUUUUUUGGUUUGUGGCCCCUUAAAGGAAGGAAGAGUAACACGUUUAGGGAAAUACGCACUCUCUGGAAGAGGGUGAGAGGAGAAGAGUGACACCUCUCAUGUGUGGACAGUAAACAUGAAGCUGUAUUUUUGUUUUGCCGAGCUUUAAAAUUGGAAACGGGGACACAGUUAGUGUGACUCUGUUCAAAACAUGCAGGUUAAAUGUUCAUUUUAACUGUAAAAACAAACAAAAAGACUCAGUUUCAUGGGUGGUUGUGUUAUAUGAUGAGCGGUUCCCUGUCAAAAUAAAGAGAAAAUUGUCCUUUGUACAGUUCACAUACAAGAUUAAGGUUUGAUGAGUGACCUUUUAGUGCUGGUAGGUGGAUUUUUAUUUUUUAUUUUUUGUCUUUGCAGAGAACCUUUCCCCCUGGUAAACUUUGCUAAAUCCAAAAGUAUGAGAAAUGCAAAUUAAUUUUAAAAAAAAACUCCUAUACUAGAAACAUUUAUAUCUAUUAAUGAGUUUAAGAAUAUCUUAAAGAAUACAGUGAAGGAGGAAUAUCUAUGUUUUUCUUGAGAGGUGGCUGUCUUUGAAUAGCUGUCAAUCUGUUUUAUUGUUGUUUAUUUGUGCAUCAUGAAUCUGUUUUCUAUAAUUUUUAUUUUUGUAUAGCUGCUACCUUGCUAAAGAAACUACUGAUCUCAGUAGGACUUCCUGGCUAAAUAAAAGUAAAUAAAUAAAUGAAUGUUAAACAUCUUCUCAUCUAGUUCAUGGCAAUAGCUCAAAUAAAGAUGCUCCUCCUACUGCUGUCAAACUAGAUGCAGUUAUCUUGAAUCUCAACCUCUACUCACAAUAUGGAUGUAUUUGUUUUCUCAGACUGUUCUUGUUGAGGUGAAUCUAUCCUGUGUUUACUAAGACAAAAAACUGAACUUGAAAAAAUGUUGUGUUCAUUUUUUAGCCAUUUGAUUGUAGAAAAAAAUAUUCGCCAUUAUUAAGUCACUUUUUUUUCGAACACUAAAAAACAAUCUUAGGAAUACACAUUUUUUGCAAAAUUAUUGUCUUGAAAUUACAGAAAAAUCUAGAUUUCUGCACUGAAUUAAAAUAAACUAACUUAAUAUUUCAAGCUCUACUUUAAAGCAACACAUUUCCAACAAAGAACGUUAAAAUACUUUCUCUUUACUGUUAGAUUUCACUUGUUUUAAGAGCAAAAGACUUGAAGGAGUAAAAAUAGCUUGAUGCACUGACCUCGUGACCCCUGACAUCUAGAGGAGGCUAAAAACUUCAACUACAGAAUACAAUAAUAUUCAUCCAUUAUCUUUACACCAGUUAGGCCUCAUUAGGGUCAUGGGGGGCUGCAGUCAGUCCCAGCUGACUUAGGGUGAAGAUAGCAGACACGUGGACAGGUCACCAGUCUGUCACAGGGCUACAUAUAGAGACAAACAUUCACACCUACAGACAAUUUAGAAUCACUAAUUAUCCUCCGCAUGUGUUUGGACUGUGGGAGGAAGUUGGAGAACCUGGAGAAAACCCACCCACAGAGAGAACAUGCAAACUCCAUGCAGAAAGAUCCCAGACCCAGACCAGAGCGCUAAUUAGCUAACGGUGCUAAAGGGCUAAUUGAUGAUUAGAAAACCCUUGUGCAGUUAUGUUAGCACAUGAAUAAAAGUGGGAGUUUUCAUGGAAAAAAUGAAAUUCUCUGGGUGACCCCAAAAUUUUUGAAUGUAGCACCUGUUGCCCAGCUCUCCUCAAGGUGCCCUGAUGUUGUUCUAAACAUGUUGGAAAAGUUGCCACAGUUUCUUCUGUCUCUUCAUGUAAUCCAUGAAUGACGACAUGAAGCUGAGAUCAGAACUCUGUGGGAGUCAAACCAUCUGCUGCAGGACUCCUCGUUUGUCGUGUGACUGAAGAUUAUUGUUUGACUCUGAUUGGAUGCUGGAGGUUGUUGUUCCAAACUGCAGAAUGGAUUUGGGAUCAGUCAGAUGAUUCCAUGACGGAACCAGGUGAUGAAUAAUAAUCCAAGCAUCUGAAGUGAAUCAAACUCGUGCACAGCGUUGUAAUGUACACAGGCACACAUGUUUGUGCACAUGUUAUAUUUGUAUAGAGCAAAACACAGUGAUAAACAAAAGAACAAAGCCACAUACACAUCAGCAUUUCAGCUCGGGUCUUUGGAGGUUAAUCUUGGAUGAAAUGGAAUCAUAUUGCCAAAAUUCUUUCCAUACUUUCAGAAAUUUGACUGUUUCUUUGUCAGAUAUUGAGCAAGCAUUGAGAUAUUUUACUGAAGUAAAUGUGGCCAUAACACAAAAACACUCCAUUUUAAGGAAGUACAGAUAUAAAUCCUUAAACAGGGUUCCCACUCUUCCCUUGAAAUUAUUUUCCAGGACUUUUCCAGGACAUUUUCAGCCGGUACAGACACAGGUUAUCACGUCAUACACAAAUACAUUGCUGUCCCCCUCGUUCUUUGGAAGUGUUCUUCACUACAGUUGUAACUUGAAUUUGAUGUGCUGUCUAUGGCUAUAAUUUAUCUAUAAAAAUAAUUCUGACACCAACAUUUUAGGUGCAUGUCCAGGGAUUUUUGGUGGAAUGUUCCUUUAAGGUGGAUGUGUGAGGACCUUGUAGGUGGAAUACUUCCUGAAACCAACCUUUUAGGUCCACAUUCAAAGAUUUAAGGUGGAAUAUUCCUUUAAACCAACCUAAAUUUCAUAUUUUGAUCAUUAUCAGGUGAGAAACCUCAAUCCAGACUCCUCAUAAUGACGUUUGAGAUUUAUGCUGCUGUUAUUUGUUUAGUCCAGACUAAAUGACAGAAAUCCACAACUGUAAUUUUAUUUCAGAACUCGGUUAUUGUCAAAACAAUCCAUGUGACUCUAAAAACUCAACAGCUUUACAAACUCUAAGAUUAAACUCUCCGCAAGGAUCCAAAAUAAGUUGGACUUCUACAUGAGAGCUUUAAUUAUUCUUCAUCUACCUCCUGAAAAAUCUGGCCAAUAAAAAAUACAAAAACUAAUAUUUUCAGCUGAACUAAAGACAGACUGUGAUUUUUCUGCUCACAUGUUGUGUUGUUGUAAACUUACUCUUUCAAAUAAAUAGCCUCCUAACCCUCUGGAA